rnacentral:rRNA from 1 species
CCUACGGGAGGCAGCAGUAGGGAAUUUUCGUCAAUGGGCGCAAGCCUGAACGAGCGAUGCCGCGUGAGUGAAGAAGGCCUUCUGGUCGUAAAGCUCUGUUGCGGGGGAAAAAAGGCAGCAUCAGGAAAUGGGAGCUGACUGAUGGUGCCCCGCCAGAAAGUCACGGCUAACUACGUGCCCGCAGCCGCGGUAAUACGUAGGUGGCGAGCGUUAUCCGGACGGAUUGGGCGUAAAGGGUGCGCAGGCGGUCCUGCAAGUCUGGAGUGCAACGCAUGAUCUCAACUCAUGAAUGGCUUUGGAAAGUGGAGGACUGGAGAGCAGGAGAGGGCGGUGGAACUCCAUGUGUAGAGGUAAAAUGCGUAGAUAUAUGGAAGAACAACAGUGGCGAAGGCGGACGCCUGGCCUGUUGCUGACGCUGAGGCACGAAAGCGUGGGGAGCAAAUAGGAUUAGAUACCCUAGUAGUC